CCUACGGGAGGCAGCAGUGGGGAAUUUUGGACAAUGGGCGAAAGCCUGAUCCAGCCAUUCCGCGUGCAGGAUGAAGGCCCUCGGGUUGUAAACUGCUUUUGUACAGAACGAAAAGGUUUCUAUUAAUACUAGGAGCUCAUGACGGCACUGUAAGAAUAAGCACCGGCUAACUACGUGCCAGCAGCCGUGGUAAUACGUAGGGUGCAAGCGUUAAUCGGAAUUACUGGGCGUAAAGCGUGCGCAGGCGGUUAUAUAAGUCAGAUGUGAAAUCCCCGGGCUCAACCUGGGAACUGCAUUUGAGACUGUAUAGCUAGAGUACGGUAGAGGGGGAUGGAAUUCCGCGUGUAGCAGUGAAAUGCGUAGAUAUGCGGAGGAACACCGAUGGCGAAGGCAAUCCCCUGGACCUGUACUGACGCUCAUGCACGAAAGCGUGGGGAGCAAACAGGAUUAGAUACCCUGGUAGUCCACGCCCUAAACGAUGUCAACUGGUUNUUGGGUCUUAACUGACUCAGUAACGAAGCUAACGCGUGAAGUUGACCGCCUGGGGAGGACGGCGCGAGUAGAACGACGAAGAAGUAGACGCGNGAGAGNGCGAGACGACGACGAGGGAGGAGG
rnacentral:rRNA from 1 species